AUAUUUUCAGUAUUCUGACACUGCAUGAGAAUUGGGGGAUCGCCGUAGAAUUUUCUUUUUAUCUCCUGAGCACAGUGCUGUGCCAGAAAUGAAGGUGCUUGCUAAAUACUCUUUUUCUCAUGUGCAGGGUUCACUGAUCACCCAGACCUGCUUAUCUGUGGAAACCUAGAAGGUGGAGAGGGAGGAGACAGUACCUAAGGAUCCAGGUUGUGAUGGUUUGUAUAUGGUUGGCCCAGGGAGUGGCAUUUUUUGGAGGUGUGGCCUUCUUGAUGUAGGUAUGCCACUAUAGGCUUGGGCUUUAAAACCUUCAUCAUAGCUGCCUGGAAGCCAGUCUUCUAGCUACGUUCAGAUGAAGAGAAGAACUCUUAGAUCCUCUUGCACGAUGCCUGCCUGGACACUGUCAAACCCCCACCUUGAUGAUAAUGAACUGAACUUCUGAACCUGUAAGCCAGCCCCAACUAAAUAUCCUUUUAAGGGUUGUGUUGGUCAUGGUAUCUGUUUAUAGCAGUAAAACCCUAACUAAGACAGAAGUCAUACUGUCCCUCCUCCAUAAUUAAAUCUAUUCCACCAUUCUUCCAUUUUUCCUCUUUAGAUCCUUUAGUUCCCUGUUAUUCCCCUUUCUAUUAUUCCCCCACAUUCCACAAUGAUCUGCUUUUAGUUUUCUGGUUACUGCAGGUACUCCAGGUUGUGAACUCACAUCAGAAGUUUUGGAUCUAGAAACUUCCUAUGAGAGAGAAGAUGCAAUGCCUGUCUUUCUGGUUCUGGGUUACUCCACUGACUGUGAUCUUUUAUUAGGCCACCUAUUUACCUGCAACACUCCUGACUUUAAUUUUCUUUACAGCUUAAUAAUAUUCCAUAGUGUAUAUGCACCACAUUUCCACUCUCCAUUUGUCCAUUGAAGGCCAUUUAAAUUGUUCCCCUUUUUAAAGCUAUUGUGAGUAGAGCAGCAGUGAACAUCUGUGGAGUAGGACAUUGAUUCCCUUGAACACAUGCAAAGGAGUAGAAGAGCUGUGUCACAUGCUAGAUUUAUUUAACUUGAGGAUUUGUUUAUUUAACUGGUUUGUCCAUAUUGAUACCCACAGUGGCUACAUUUUUUGUUCAUGGGAGUUUUAUUCCUCAUGCUUAUUGUUGUUUAUUAUUUAUUUAUGUUGUUGGUAGGAUUAUGGGUGCUAUUAUUCUUUCUCUGUGAGAACUAGUAUUUUUGCUGUUUUGCUUAUGGAUGAUUACUUCUUAGUUCUCC
rnacentral:lncRNA from 1 species